UGAUUGUGGAGGAACUCAUUUCCUGGGGAUUGAGGCUGACGGCUGGAGGAGCAGCCAAGGAACUCCAACAUGGCGAGUUGGAAGCCAAUUGGUCAUCCAUCCAGAGGAAACCUUCCAGACUGGGUCCGUACUGGAAGGAACCAGUCCAGAAUGAUCAAGACGUUGGUUGUAAUCAAUGACCCCUUCCAAGAUACCCUGAACUUUCUUUUGUUGAUUGGACCUUCUCAAAGUGCUCGGGGAGUCAAACUCUUCUGGCUGACACCCAUUUUAAACAUCACUUAAUCGCAUGAUGCGACAAUUCGUUAUCAGAUGACCCUGUGUUCAUACACAAACACAGCCACUAUCAGGCACAGACAGGCCAUAAUCUGGCAAAAUCUUGAUGAAACAGAAAUAAACACAAUGUGCAGUGCAUAUUAAUAAACUCGGGCAUUCUGGCACACACUGACAUUACAAACACCCUCGAAAGGAAAAGCUAUGAGGCUGGGUUUCCUUAUAUGAACCUUACCAUCAAUAUAAACAAGGAUCCAGAAAAGGGAAAGAGGUGAAUCUUUUGAAACACUGUAUCUCUUCUUCAAUCUUGGAAACAACAACUCAUCUCUUAAGAGCCAGCAGUUUCCAUAAUGUAUCAUUUUCUCAAAGGGUGAGACUAAGGUUCUCUUCACCACUCCAACCCAUCAACGCAAUGUCCUGUUUCUCUUGAACUUGAGGAUAAAACUCUCCAUCAGUCUCUGAAGCGGGUACUUCAAGAGCCACCAAGUGCACGGCCUGCCCUCCAUCCCUAACCUCCCGGUAUCUCCAGGGCUGGCAUCCCUUGGACAUGGGAACACUGGGCCCUUUCCUGGUUGGAUAGUUCUACCUUCUAGAGACUUCUGUUUACUACUGUCGCUACUGCCUCUUUCUUCUCCAGCUCCACACUGUGUCAGUCUCACACUGCCACUCGCAGCCUUCUCUGAAUGCCCGCCCACACUCUGCUACCCCUGGGAGACCCUGGCCAUGGACACCACCGCUGAUGCCUUUCAAUCUGAGGACCUCCACAAGCCGUGUCCCCUGGGUGACUUCAGACUCGCCAUUUGCUUUGCAGACCAGUGCCUGCUUGCUCCAGCCACUGGCCCUCAAACGGAGCUCUGAUCUUUCCCUUCCGGCCACCCCACGCCCCAUCACCCAAACCAGGACAGCUCCUUUCUCAUGGUCUUCUGCUCUUUAAUCCAAAAAUUCAGGCACUCAGCUGGAACCCAGAGAAGAGAGUCAGAAAAGGUCAAGCUGCUCCCAGUCCAGCAAAAGAUCACUUAUGCUUUUCUUCAAGAAAAAUCUCUCUACCAUGUGGAGUGACUCCUGUGGGAACAGAGGGGAGCCUUGUGGUUGUGAUAGAAGAAAAGCAAACCUGGUUAAAAAGCUGAGACGAGCAGAGGCACCUGGGUGGCUCAGUUGCUUAAGUGUCUGACUUCAGCUCAGGUCAUGAUCUUGGGCCCCGUGAGUUCGAGCCCCGCAUCGGGCUCUGUGCUGACCGCUCAGAGCCUGGAGCCUGUUUCAGAUUCUGUGUCUCCCUCUCCCUGACCCUCCCCCGUUCAUGCUU